rfam:Schistosoma curassoni strain Dakar, Senegal genome assembly, scaffold: SCTD_scaffold0004261
ACCCAGAUGACGAGUCCCAAAUAGGACGAAACACUCGUCCUGUAU